rnacentral:rRNA from 1 species
AGUGAACGCUGGCGGCGUGCUUAACACAUGCAAGUCGAACGAGAACGGAUUAUAGCUUGCUAUAAUUGUCAGCUAAGUGGCGCACGGGUGAGUAAUGUAUAGGUAAUAUGCCUUUUACUAAGGAAUAACAAAUGGAAACGUUUGCUAUACCUUAUACUCCUUAUUAACCUAAGUUAAUAAGGGAAAGAUUUAUUGGUAAGAGAUUAGCCUGUAUUGUAUCAGUUAGUUGGUGGGGUAAUGGCUUACCAAGACUAUGACACAUAACUGGUUUGAGAGGAUGAUCAGUCACACUGGAACUGAGACACGGUCCAGACUCCUACGGGAGGCAGCAGUGGGGAAUGUUGCACAAUGGACGGAAGUCUGAUGCAGCAACGCCGCGUGGAGGAUGACACAUUUCGGUGCGUAAACUCCUUUUAUAUGAGAAGAUAAUGACGGUAUUAUAUGAAUAAGCACCGGCUAACUCCGUGCCAGCAGCCGCCGUAA